rnacentral:rRNA from 1 species
AACGAACGCUGGCGGCAUGCCUAACACAUGCAAGUCGAACGAGACCUUCGGGUCUAGUGGCGCACGGGUGCGUAACGCGUGGGAACCUGCCCUUAGGUUCGGAAUAACUCCCCGAAAGGGGUGCUAAUACCGGAUAAUGUCUUCGGACCAAAGAUUUAUCGCCUUUGGAUGGGCCCGCGUUGGAUUAGCUAGUUGGUAGGGUAAAAGCCUACCAAGGCGACGAUCCAUAGCUGGUCUGAGAGGAUGAUCAGCCACACUGGGACUGAGACACGGCCCAGACUCCUACGGGAGGCAGCAGUGGGGAAUAUUGGACAAUGGGCGAAAGCCUGAUCCAGCAAUGACGCGUGAGUGAUGAAGGCCUUAGGGUUGUAAAGCUCUUUUACCCGGGAUGAUAAUGACGGUACCGGGAGAAUAAGCUCCGGCUAACUCCGUG